rnacentral:rRNA from 1 species
CAAGGAAGGCAGCAGGCGCGCAAAUUACCCACUCCCGGCACGGGGAGGUAGUGACGAAAAAUAACGAUACGGGACUCUUUUGAGACCCCGUAAUCGGAAUGAGAACGGUCCAAAGACCCUAGCGAGGACCCAUUGGAGGGCAAGCCUGGUGCCAGCAGCCGCGGUAACUCCAGCUCCAAUAGCGUAUAUUAAAGUUGUUGCGGUUAAAAAGCUCGUAGUUGGAUCUCAGUUCAGGUCGGGGGAUCCGUCUUCCGACGGCCAUCUCCCGGACCGGACAGCCGGCCGGUCUCCCUCGAUGAUCUUCAUCGGUUGUCUCGGGUUGACCGGCGAGUUUACUUUGAAAAAAUUAGAGUGCUCAAAGCAGGCUCCAGAAGCCUGGAUAAUGGUGCAUGGAAUAAUGGAAUAGGACCUCGGUUCUAUUUUGUUGGUUUUAGGAUCACGAGGUAAUGAUUAAGAGGGACGGACGGGGGCAUUCGUAUUGCGGCGCUAGAGGUGAAAUUCUUGGACCGCCGCAAGACGAACGACAGCGAAAGCAUUUGCCAAGAAUGUUUCCAUUAAUCAAGAACGAAAGUCAGAGGCUCGAAGGCGAUCAGAUACCGCCCUAGUUCUGACCAUAAACGAUGCCAGCCAGCGAUCCGGCUGCGUUCCUCAAAUGACGCGCCGGGCAGCUUCCGGGAAACCAAAGCUUUUGGGUUCCGGGGGAAGU